GAACCUGCGGAAGGAUCAUUGCACACACAAGUUG
rnacentral:rRNA from 1 species